GUCUCUGUGGCAGCAAUCGGUUAGCGCGUUCGGCUGUUAACCGAAAGGUUGGGGUGGUUUGAGCCCACCCAGAGUUG
rnacentral:tRNA from 1 species